UGACGCAGCAACGCGUGUGAGGGAUGAAGGCUUUCGGGUCGUAAACCUCUGUCGGAAGGGAAGAACGGGCAUUGUCUUAAUAGGCCUUUGUUUUGACGGUACCUUAGAGGAAGCACCGGCUAACUCCGUGCCAGCAGCCGCGGUAAUACGGAGGGUGCAAGCGUUAUUCGGAAUUACUGGGCGUAAAGCGCACGUAGGCGGCCUUGUAAGUCAGGGGUGAAAUCCCACGGCUCAACCGUGGAACUGCCUUUGAAACUGCAGGGCUUGAAUCCUGGAGAGGGUGGCGGAAUUCCUGGUGUAGGAGUGAAAUCCGUAGAUAUCAGGAGGAACACCGGUGGCGAAGGCGGCCACCUGGACAGGUAUUGACGCUGAGGUGCGAAAGUGUGGGGAGCAAACAGGAUUAGAUACCCUGGUAGUCCACACCGUAAACGAUGGAUACUAGGUGUCGGGGACUUGAUCUUCGGUGCCGUAGCUAACGCGUUAAGUAUCCCGCCGGGGAGUACGGUCGCAAGGCUGAAACUCA
rnacentral:rRNA from 1 species